rnacentral:rRNA from 1 species
GGAGGGUGCGAGCGUUGUCCGGAAUCACUGGGCGUAAAGGGCGCGUAGGUGGCCCGUUAAGUGGCUGGUGAAAUCCCGCGGCUCAACUGCGGGGCUGCCGGUCAUACUGACGAGCUAGAGCACGGUAGGGGCAGAUGGAAUUCCCGGUGUAGCGGUGGAAUGCGUAGAGAUCGGGAAGAAUACCAGUGGCGAAGGCGUUCUGCUGGGCCGUUGCUGACACUGAGGCGCGACAGCGUGGGGAGCAAACAGGAUUAGAUACCCUGGUAGUCCACGCCGUAAACGAUGGACACUAGACGUCGGGGGGAGCGACCCUCCCGGUGUCGUCGCUAACGCAGUAAGUGUCCCGCCUGGGGAGUACGGCCGCAA